GUGUUCGCUUUAGCAGCACACAUACUAAAACUGGAAUGAUAUAGAGAAGAUUAGCAUGGCCCCUGCGCAAGGUUGACACGCAAAUUUGUGAAGCGUUCCAUAUUUUU
rnacentral:snRNA from 1 species